CUACGGGUUGCUCCAGUGAGGAAUAUUGCACAAUGGGGGGAACCCUGAUGCAGCAACGCCGCGUGGAGGAUGACGCAUUUUGGUGUGUAAACUCCUUUUAUAUGUCAAGAAAAUGACGGUAGCAUAUGAAUAAGCACCGGCUAACUCCGUGCCAGCAGCCGCGGUAAUACGGAGGGUGCAAGCGUUACUCGGAAUCACUGGGCGUAAAGGACGCGUAGGCGGGUUGGAAAGUCAGGUGUGAAAUCCUACAGCUUAACUGUAGAACUGCACCUGAAACUUCUAAUCUAGAGUAUGGGAGGGGGAGAUGGAAUUAGUGGUGUAGGGGUAAAAUCCGUAGAUAUCACUAGGAAUACCUAAAGCGAAGGCGAUCUCCUGGAACAUUACUGACGCUAAGGCGUGAAAGCGUGGGGAGCAAACAGGAUUAGAUACCCUAGUAGUC
rnacentral:rRNA from 1 species